GCAGAGGAGCCCUAGAGAGCAUCUGCGCCUUCGGGAGCAGAGAGACAGGUGCUGCAUGGCUGUCGUCAGCUCGUGUUGUGAAAUGUUGGGUUAAGUCCCGCAACGAGCGCAACCCUUAUCCUUUGUUGCCAGCGGUCCGUGGGGGAACUCAAAGGAAAAUGCCCGGGAUAAACUGGAGGAAGGGGGGGAAAAACUCAAGUCAUCAUGGCCCUUACAACCAGGGCUACCACCGUGCUACAAUGGCGCAUACAAAAAGAAGCGAACUCCCGAGAGCAAGCGGACCUCAUAAAGUGCGUUCUAAUCCGGAUUGGAGUCUGCAACUCCACUCCAUGAAGUCGGAAUUCCUAGUAAUCCUGGAUCAAAAUGCCACGGUGAAUACGUUCCCGGGCCUUGGUACACCGAAAA
rnacentral:rRNA from 1 species